GCCUGGCUAGCUCAGUUGGUAGAGCAUGAGACUCUUAAUCAUGGGUCAUGGGUUUGAGCCCCAUGUUGGACA
rnacentral:tRNA from 1 species